CCUUCCGCACUCCGCAGUUAUUCUUUCCUCGUCCGCUCGUCGCAGGGCCCAGUCGCCCAAUUCAACUACGGCCUGCGGCGCGCUAAAAUUUUUAGGCCGGUGAUCUCUAAAGGGCUAGACCGUUAUUAUUUUAAUAGAAAAGACAACUAAACUCGAUUCAAAACCGAUCUUCGGAACAAGAUGGAUGAUGACUUUCUUAGUAAUUCUUUGAUCGUGUACAUUGAAAGAGAAAUUGCCAAAAAAUUUACUGUUGAUUCAAUUAUUGAUGAAUUUUAUGACUUGAAGAAGAGCCGAGCACUAUUCUAACUUUUACAUGGUAAACAAAAUUUUUAAUUUUUUUUUAUAUUUCUGUACUUCUAAUUUUUGUUAUAUACAGUUUAUUUUAUUAAUAUUUUUUUGAAAAUCAAUGUGUUUCUGGCUUCGUCGCUGGAAUCAACUAUAUGCUUAGCUUAUUGCAUUCAUCUCUCAAGGUAACUACAAUGCAUGAGAUUGUUACAAGUGACAAUAAAUAAGGACUAUAUAACUACUUGUUAGUGUUAAGUAGUUCCUAAUAAGAAAAAAAGCUGUUGAUGU